AUUGAACGCUGGCGGUAUGCUUAACACAUGCAAGUCGAACGGCAGCAUGGGAGUGCUUGCACUCCUGAUGGCGAGUGGCGGACGGGUGAGUAAUACGUAGAAAUCUGCCUAGAGGAUUGGGAUAGCUUGUGGAAACGCAAGGUAAUACCGAAUACGCCCUACGGGGGAAAGCGGGGGACUAGCAAUAGCCUCGCACCUUUAGAUGAGUCUACGCCGGAUUAGUUUGUUGGUGGGGUAAAGGCCUACCAAGACGACGAUCCGUAGCUGUUCUGAGAGGAAGAUCAGCCACACUGGGACUGAGACACGGCCCAG
rnacentral:rRNA from 1 species